ensembl:ncRNA asRNA:CR44052 antisense RNA:CR44052
AUUUUUGAUUUUUUGGUCAAAUUUCGAACGGAAAUAGGAACUAAUUACUCAAAAUUUAAAUCUUUUCUUCGAGUGCACUUACCCAUUGUAGAUUAUCAACGCCACACUGCCGUCUGGUCGCUGGAAGCCAACAACACUCAGCUGGGUGAAGGGAUUGCUCUGGUUCUCGAUCCGCGUCUCGAUGCGCACGGAGUCCGGCGGCAGAAACUUGGAGAAGUGGCCUAUGGCAUAGAAAAUCGGCUUUCUUAACGUAGUUCGGACCGCCCUGUUCGUCCAGCACGAGAUUCCAAUCCAGCCAGCCGUUGAAGUUGUGCGUCAGAUCCUGGGUAUAGGCCCUCAUAUAGCUUUCACCACGCUGCCAGCUGCCCAGCUCGGGACCAUGGGUCUGCCAUGGCUUAUCACCGAUGCAGGACUCCGUGUUCAAUAGCAGCUUAUUGGGCAUAUCCGUAUGUGCCUGGUCGAUGAGUUGUGGUCCUAUCAGUUCAUCCCAGUACCAGUGAACAGCUAGGCCAUCCAAGUAGUUCAGCGAAUUGUUGCGGGAGGAGCGCAUCUGUGUACCGCUGAUCGUCGUUGCCAAAGAUGAGCACCUUGCUCUCCGCCGAGUUUCUGAUGGUCGGGCCCAGAUUGUCGUUCAGCCAGAUAGCCUGGUC